UCACAAGGUCAUAAUGCCUGCCUAUUUCUAAAUUGUAUCUUCUUAAAAUGUGAUUUUAAAACUAACCCUACCCUUAUCCACACUGCUAACCUUAUGACUAAUCCUAACCUUAAAUGAAGACCAAAAAGAUUAUUUCUGUUUUCUGAAAUUUUAUGAUAGAACUUUGUGGCUGUGAUAACUAGUGGAAACUUAUUCGGAUCCGUUAAUGUCACUGAUUUCAUGGGACUUUAGUUCAUUUUCCGGUCUUGCGGUGCGGUGUGCAGAAUCCAGGAGUGGCCUUUCAAUUUCGGUGACGUCGUCACAUCGCGACUUCCGGAUUCUCGAUGACCGCCGUUAUGAAGAGAAACUGCGCGCCGAUUUUGAGCCUCAACUACCAAUUCACAUUGAGAUCUAGCAGUCUGUAUAACCAAAAUGGAUACGCAGUUUCUGAAAAUACCACCGAAGCGCACAUGAGUUUCUCUCCAACUACUGUGUAACGUUCGUUUCACAGAAUGGACCUGCCGUGUGUCGAGUGGCAAAAGCACGUUGAACAGAAGUGGAGCCGACUCACUCUUGAUGAGAAGAAAUGCUUCUCGUCCCUGUUGGACAUAGAUGAGGUCUUUGAUUUUGGCCUGUCUCAAGUAAUCCAAGAGGACGUGGACUUUCUGUCGGGCAUUUCCAAGGACGAUCCGUGUCCAGAAGGACCUGGAGCGAGCUGCCAGAUGCCGGAAGGAGGGCAACUCCAGCUUUAAAACCAGGGACUACACGGCUGCUGUCCUGCACUACUCACCAGGUAACAUCUUUACAACCAGGGACGACCCUGCUGCUGUCGCACUACUCACAGGAAACAUCUUUACAACCAGGGACGACCUGCUGCUGUCCUGCACUACUCCAGGUAACAUCUUUACAACCCGGACGACAAUGCUGCUGUCCUGCACUACUCACAUGAACUCUUACAACCAGAGACGGACCCUGCUACUGUCCUGCACUACUCACAGGUAACAUUCUUUACAACCAGAGACGACCCUGCUACUGUCCUGCACUACUCACACGGUAACAUCUUACAACCAGAGACGACCCUGCUGCUGUCCUGCACUACUCACAGGUAACAUCUUUACAACCAGAGACGACCCUGCUGCUGUCUCACUACUCACAGGUAACAUCUUUACAACCAGGACGACCCUGCUGCCGUCUUGCCUACUCACAGGUAAACAUCUUUACAACCAGGGCCGACCCUGCUGCUGUCCUGCACUACUCACAUGUUAACAUUUUACAACCAGAGACGACCCUGCUACUGUCCUGCACUACUCACAGGUAACAUCUUUAAAACCAGAGACGACCCUGCUACUGUCCUGCACUACUCAAAGGUAACAUCUUUACAACCAGGGACGACCCUGCUGCUGUCCUGCACGACUCACAGGUAACAUCUUUACAACCAGGGACGACCCUGCUACUGUCCUGCAUCCUCACAGGUAACAUCUUUACAACCAGGGACGGACCCUGCUGCUGUCCUGCAC
rnacentral:lncRNA from 1 species